rnacentral:lncRNA from 1 species
CCGUAUAUUGCUUGUCCUGCUUGUUUCUAGCACAGAAAAGAGUGCUGUACCCACAAAUGUGUUUGAUCAGGUAUAGGACCUUGUUGCUGCUGCAUGUGUAAUCAACUUCUGCCAUUAAUGUUCCUCUGGGAGCUGGUAAAUGAGUAGCAUGUGUAAUUUCUUCAUUAGCAUACCUGUUUACUCCCAACUGUGCUUUGAAGUAGAUUGAGGCAGGCUUCCCAUCCGGCAAAUGCUGUUCCUGGACUGGAUCCACCACAGUGGAAGCUUGACAGCCACCUAUGAGGAAAGUGGACUUUGUGACACAUGAAAGAGACCCCUGGGCCUUGAAGCUACUAUGUGGCAGGGAAAUACUUCAUGUCUGCCAAAAGCCUUGGAAGUGCCUCUCAUGGCUGCUCUGUUGUUCUGCAUAAAGCAAGACGUGUAUUUGCAUGUCCUCCUGCUCUGGCUCCAGCAGAAACCACCUGAAGGAUUUUCUGAAUGGUCAGAUCCUCCUCCUAUAGCGCUAAUCAACACAGCAAUGCACAGAUUUUGCCUUUGGAGAGAUGUUCAAAUCAGGAGAUCCUAUGGAAAAUCUUCAGGACUGUUUGAAAUUCCCAUCUGUGGAGCUCUUGUGUCGAGCAGUCAAGUGCUUGCUUGUGCUGCUGUCCAGAAGUUCAGACAAUGACCUAUUU